GACGAACGCUGGCGGCGUGCCUAAUACAUGCAAGUAGAACGCUGAAGGAUGAUCUUGCUUCUCUGGAUGAGUUGCGAACGGGUGAGUAACGCGUAGGUAACCUGCCUGGUAGCGGGGGAUAACUAUUGGAAACGAUAGCUAAUACCGCAUAUUAGCAGUUGUUGCAUGACAACUGUUUUAAAGGUGCAAUUUCACCACUACCAGAUGUGACUGCGUUGUAUUAGCUAGUUGGUGGGGUAACGGCUCACCAAGGCGACGAUACAUAGCCGACCUGAGAGGGGGAUCGGCCACACUGGGACUGAGACACGGCCCAGACUCCUACGGGAGGCAGCAGUAGGGAAUCUUCGGCAAUGGACGGAAGUCUGACCGAGCAACGCCGCGUGAGUGAAGAAGGUUUUCGGAUCGUAAAGCUCUGUUGUAAGAGAAGAACGAGGGUGAGAGUGGAAAGUUCACAAUGUGACGGUAACUUACCAGAAAGGGACGGCUAACUACGUG
rnacentral:rRNA from 1 species